CGCGCAGGUGGUUCUUUAAGUCUGAUGUGAAAUCCCCGGGCUUAACCUGGGAACUGCAUUUGAAACUGGCAGGCUUGAGUCUCGUAGAGGGGGGUAGAAUUCCAGGUGUAGCGGUGAAAUGCGUAGAGAUCUGGAGGAAUACCGGUGGCGAAGGCGGCCCCCUGGACAAAGACUGACGCUCAGGUGCGAAAGCGUGGGGAGCAAACAGGAUUAGAUACCCGAGUA
rnacentral:rRNA from 1 species